rnacentral:misc_RNA from 1 species
GAAAUGCGAUAAGUAAUGUGAAUUGCAGAAUUCAGUGAAUCAUCGAAUCUUUGAACGCACAUUGCGCCCGCCAGUAUUCUGGCGGGCAUGCCUGUUCGAGCGUCAUUACAACCCUCAGGCCCCCGGGCCUGGCGUUGGGGAUCGGCGGAAGCCCCCUGCGGGCACAACGCCGUCCCCCAAAUACAGUGGCGGUCCCGCCGCAGCUUCCAUUGCGUAGUAGCUAACACCUCGCAACUGGAGAGCGGCGCGGCCACGCCGUAAAACACCCAACUUCUGAAUGUUGACCUCGAAUCAGGUAGGAAUACCCGCUAAACUUAAGC